UGGAUAUAAGUGUAUGGAGUUUUCUUUGAACAUAAUCAAAAGUAGUUUGUUUCUUGAAUUUGAAGCAUGAUAUGUAAGCACAUAUAGCUUGGACAAUGAGGAAAUAAUUAUUCAAUUCUCCCAGGGAAGGCGGCUGCUAAGAGCAAAGUUUUGGCUGAAGGAGGCUAGAAGAUCAAUGAGCAAGUGCAACCGUGUCACCUUCACAAAUCCGAACAAUAACUUGGGGGUUAAAGCCUAUUUGUCCAAAUAGUUUUUAAGAAACUGCCUAAAAGGGAAUGGUUUUGUGUGAAUUUUGUUUUAGCUGCUGUCUCACAUAUGAAUGAGAAGUUAGAAGUGUAUACACAUGUCGACAGAAGACGUAUGCUCGAAGUGUUUGUGUGUGGCAUUUAGAGAAAAGGGGCAGGGCCCUUUUAUCUUGAGAACUAUUUCAUUUUGUGCAGAAUCAGGGGUGUGGAUAAACACUACUGACUCAGUGGAAAGUGUUUAAAUAUUGAUGGGGUGUCACUUUAUCCCAAAACUGAGUGAUAUUGGCAAAGAGUGGUUAAGUUUCCUUGCUGUUUCAGGAAAUCGAGCUGACAGCUGGAUAUCCCACGAUCCUUUAGAUCCUGGAUAUUGAUACUUGGAAAGGUAUCUAAGUGUUAAUAUUAUCUAAGUUUGAUAUACUUGAGUGUUGAGGAUACUUAAAAGGUUUAAUUGAACCCAAACUCCAUAAUAAUUUGAAUAUGUCAUUCGCAAGAACGGUGAGUCCAAAUUGUUCCCUGGUUUAUACAAAAGUAUCAGGAUGGAAACAUACCAAGAUAAAUUGUCACAAUUGUAAUGUCCCUAGGUCUGGGAAAUGCAGAACUAAUAAAUUUGGGGUACUGUACACAGCACGUAGUACUGGAAGCCAUGAUAAGGAAAUGUUAAGGGUUACUCCCUAUAAGCAAGGUUCCUGGAAAUGUGAAUGUUCUCAGACCAAGUUAUGUGUAACAAUAUGUCGUUUAGAUUGCAAUAGCAAAAAGAAAGGAACCGACAGGCAAAGUAAUCAAACAGAACCACAGCUACAGCCCAUUUAUGUUGUAAAUCCUACAGGGAAGCCACAAAAGCUGGUUCCGUAUGGGCAAAAUACUAGUAUGAAAAUCCAUAAUAUUACAAAAUCAGAAAAAUAGAUGAUUGGUAUAUCACAGUUUAUUUUAAUAGUAAUAUUAUCAAUUAUAAACGGUUAUUCUAUGUGCUUUGUAAAUAUACAGGUCGAGGAUGCCAGAAUAUCGGAUACUUACUAAGUGAUGAAGCCAGUGUCUAGAUUUUUGUGCACACAUUGCACUGCAUAUGUUGUAAUUCCACAUAGAAGUCACAUAUAUGAUAUUGUUAAUUUUUGUUUUCCCCUUCCUUUUAUUUUACACUAUAUCUACCAACAUAAUUUAUGUUUUGGUAUAAUGUAAGGUGUUUAGCAGUAGCCAAAAGCACUGGUUGGCCACAUUAUAUAGACCAAAAGUAUUAAAACAAAAUAUAUAUAUAUUUAAUCAUAAGAGUCAAAUCCACAAUUACACUACACUAUAGGUCUUUGGCCUAAGAGAAUCCCACCAUGAUAUUAAGUAUGUUGUCAAAAGUCACAGGGAACACAGUGUGGAGGUGGCGUAAUCUUGUAUAAGUACCAGUUGAUGUCUAUCGCUCCACUAAACCUGUUCCAAAGAAUCUGUUUCCAUAUUAGAUUUUCAUUGGCACAUGCUCAAAUUCUAUAGUAAGCCAUGCCUAAAAGAAAAGAAAGGAGUUAUGAUACACCAGAGCACAGUCUCCUCACAGGCGAACAGCAGUGCUGGGAGCAGCUGGCAUUAUAUGAAGCCUGGUGAGUUUAUGAAUAGUCUGUAAAUCUCUUUUCAGGGCUUCCUACAGAUCAUUGGGAAAGGACCAUGUCAAAUACUACCUCCAUUUGCAAAAAAUGUUGCUGAGAGAAGCCCACCUGGAGAAGAUAAAAGCAACAACGAGGGCGGCUGAUCUUAACCUAGCUUUGGAGGCACUGUUUAAAGGACAGUAAAUAGUUACAUGCCAUGUUUGGUAAGGAUGGUAAAGUGUAAGGAUGUGGGACAGAUGACAAUGUCCUGCAGGCCUGAAUGAAAUGCAUCUUAAGGAUCAUUAAUCCCUCUAAGUAAAUUGGAUGGCAAAUAUUAUGUACUGCAUAUGUUUCAUGCUUGAUUGAACAAGGGGGGGAAACAGGAUGGAGAGCUGAAUCAAGUUCCUGGUACUGUAGCAAGUAAGGUAACAAUUCACUUGUGGGUUCUAUGUGACUGAUGACAUUUCUCCCUACACCAUGGUCCAUAAUGGCUUAACAUAUAGUAUGUUCCCCCACACUGACCAUGACAUAUAAAAAUAUAAUGAGUAAUGCUAGGAAUAUGUACAAAAUAAUGUUUCUAUAAGAUAUUGAUAAAUUGGUACUUCAGCAGAAGCUUUUACCAGCAUUAAUAAUCAAAGGUGUUGAAUCUCAAGAUUCAAAAGGAGGGAGAAACAGAUUAUCGUCUCCACUGAUGGAUCAGCAAGAAGAUCAAGAGGACCAGGAAGAUGGUCCAGAAUUCUAAAUAAUAAAAAAUGUUCUUUUUCCCAAUGUUACAGAUACAGGGAAAAAGUUGGUUAGAGUGUUUACCAAUAACUUUGUUCAGUAUUAGAACCACACCCAGUAAAACUACAGGUCAUUCACCUUAUGAAAUCUUGUUUGGUAGCAUACCAAAGAUAGGAUGUUAUUAUAUUUGACUGCAUAUAUUAAAGAGUCUUACUGAGAAACUAAUAUCUUUGCAUUCUCUAGUUUUGCCUCUCUCCCAUAUUCAGAAGCAGAACUGAAUCCCCACAAGCUUCAACCAGCAGAUUGGGUGUAUCUGAAAACACACAUGAGAAAGUCACUUGAGCCCAGAUUUGAUGGUCCAUACCAAGUGCUGUUGACCAUGCCAACUUCUGUGAAGGUUAAAGAGAGAGAAGCUUGGAUACAUGCAUCCCACUGCAAACAUGCCCAAGUUAAGUUUGGAUAAACAAACCCACUCACACACAAUCAUGCUAAGAUUAUUUGGGCCUAAGCCAGACAAGCCACUAUGGGGAGUCAUAUUAGGAACCUCAGUCAUUAUUGACCUAAUUAUAUACUCUGCAUUUCUCUUUGAGAACAAUAAAAAAGGUGAAAUAAGGGGAAAUUUGACUCACCAACCUCCACCCCAUGAAAAUCAUAGCAAUCUUGUAAGAGAUAGAAGAAGUGCUACUAUCUGGCCAAACUCAUUGGUCCAGUCUCACUUUCAAGUAGCCAAUGAGGUCAUGUAGAUUGUUCCCAAACCCUAGUAAAUUUCACAACUAACAAGGGGUUGGACAUCACCACAUGCGAAAGAGGAGGUUAUACUUACCGAUUUCCCCUUAGGGACAUUAAGGUUUAGGGAAAUACUUCUAAUCCCCAAAUAAUUGAAUGGCUUAACAGUUCAGAAUGCAGCUCACAUAUUCAUUCUAAAUCUAGGUUUACAGAGAAAAAACUGGUUGAAUACUUCCAAUCCCCACAACCUGAAUGGCUUAAUAGCUCCUUUGAAGACAUGUUCAAGGUCAUUCAGGCCCACUGUACAGCCUACAGAUUGCAUAUGGGGUAGUAAUUAAUGUGCCCUAUAUUUUACAACCAGAUGUGUAUUUUCUGUGUGGGAAGAAGGCUUAUAAAUGGAUACCCUAUGGAGGACAGGGUACCUGUAACCUAGGGAAGGUAAUACCAGCAGUUAGAUCAAUAGAUAAUCACGAGAAGGAGGAAACCUCAGGUCAUCUAAGUCCCUUAAAGAAAAGGGAACUAAAAAAGAGCAAGACUCAAGCCCAUGAUCUUCUUUACAUUCCAUGGUACAAGAAAAUGGGAUUAGCCCUUGCGGGAGGAACAGUUCAGAACUCCCAUAACAUAUAAGCAUUAGCAAAGCUGCUUGAUAACAUUACUGUUAUAUAUGAUGACACAUUUAAACUAGUUUUAGAGGACAUAAAAAUGGUAAAGCGAGAGGUGCAUGCUCACAGAAUGGUCUUAGAUUACCUAACAGCCAAGGAAGGAGGAAUGUGCAUGACAGUAGAAGGAGCAUGCUGCAAUUAUCUGAAUCAAGCCACCUCUAUUGAGGAAGCCAUAGAAGACCACCUAAACAAAGUGCAAGAACUUAAGGAUACAUUCAGGGAAAAGCAUAAUGACCAUGAACAUGAUUUGUAUAGGGAAGGGUGGUUAUCUUGGCUAAACCCAGCUAACUGGUUCAGUAGGAUUAAAGGAUGGAUUGUUGGAAUCUUAAUGUUUUUGCUUAAAAUUGUUGGCUUAGCAAUAAUUAUAUAUCUGUGUAUUAAGAUACUAUUUUGUUUCCUUUCAGCUUGCAAAAAGUCUAUAAACUCAAGAUUUGAAAACUCCAAGUUUAAGAAGCUACAGAAGAGCUUGGCAAGAAAGAGCUGUGAGCAGUCUAGCUUGAUGGAUAUGAGCGAACGGUCAUUACCCUCCGUCAGAUACAGUGAAAAGCACCAUCUCACGGGGACAUAAGCCUUUAGCACCAUCAUGGCUAGACUGUUUGCCUAGACUCGUUAGUAAGAGAUAUUGUAAUGCCUCAUAGCUCAACUGUAAUGUCAGAUUAUUAUAAAAAUGAGGGACUGAGAGAGAUAGCAUUGUGCUACAGCAGUUAUCAGCCAUCUUGUAUAACAGCAGCCAUUUUAGUAAAUGCUUUAGGCUUCAUAAUGAGUUAUAAGUAAUGCUGACAUUUCAAAUAGUUAGAAAGAAGUUUCUGUGAGAAGCAAGGUCAAAUGGACUUUCUGGAAACAUAUUAUGAAACAAUCUCAUUGCUAAGGACAAACAGAGCAUAUUCUAAGAGAUUGUAUGUUUCUUUUCAGCAAUGAUUCUUUGUUCUAUUUGUGAUACAUACAAAAUGCUGUGUAAUCAUUUCUUUGCCUAUAAUAACCCUGGGCAAACGAACCAAUAUAGAUUCAUUUUGCUAACAUA